rnacentral:lncRNA from 12 species
CUUUGUCUUUUGUUAAAAUGAAGACUCUGCAAACCUAAUGUUGAUAGGCUAAGAUCCUCCCUCUCUUUCCUGGCUUGUUCUCCUGGAAUGGACCUCACAGUGAAUAACCUGUGGCUCCUUCAUCCCUCACGUGCAUCGCCUCUGUUCUCAGAUGUGCCUGGGCUAAAUUGGAACCUUAUGGACAUCGAACCUAGAAACAUAUGCUGAUGUGAUUUAUAGGUAUCUUCUUGUCUCCAUAGAAGAAGAGCUCAUCUGGCUGGAGCAUUCUGGGC